GGGUCAGUAGGUUGGUCGUGCCACCGGUACGUACUGGUCUCACUGAUUCCUCCUUCCUGAAGAACCGUAAUGCCGUUAAUUUGGUGUUGCGGGGAAACAGGACUGUUACUUUGAAGAAAUUAGAGUGUUUAAAGCAAGCUAACGCUUGAAUACAUUAGCAUGGAAUAAUGAAAUAGGACGAUCGAUCCUAUUUUGUUGGUUUCUAGGAUUGACGUA
rnacentral:rRNA from 1 species